rnacentral:snRNA from 1 species
GUGUUCAUUUGGCCAUACAUAUACUAAAGUUGGAAUACACAGAAAAUUGCCGUGGCCCCUGUGCUACGAUAAUAUACAAAUUAGUGAAGUGUUCAGUAUUUUU